UGGAACACAGCACGUAGUUAAAGCCUCGAUAAUCUCAGACAGACCUGAGCAAUCAAACACAGCACAGGAUGUGGGGUCGGGACUGCGAGAUAAAACACCUGAACAAUCAAACCAUGCAGAGUUCGUUCACUCGUGUUCAAACAGCAGGCGCGCGGGGGGGGGGGGGGUAAAGUCCUCAGUACACAGGGCAGGACAGGUGAAGUCAC